AGAAUCAACGCUGGCGGCGUGCCUAACACAUGCAAGUCGAACGAGAAAGUGGGAGCAAUCCCAUGAGUAAAGUGGCGCACGGGUGAGUAACACGUGACUAACCUACCCUUGAGUGGGGGAUAACCUAGGGAAACCUGGGCUAAUACCGCAUAAUACCUACGGGUCAAAGGAGCAAUUCGCUUUAGGAGGGGGUCGCGGCAUAUUAGUUAGUUGGCGGGGUAAUGGCCCACCAAGACAGUGAUCUGUA
rnacentral:rRNA from 1 species